UACGAAGGGGGCUAGCGUUGCUCGGAAUCACUGGGCGUAAAGCGCACGUAGGCGGAUUGUUAAGUCAGGGGUGAAAUCCUGGAGCUCAACUCCAGAACUGCCUUUGAUACUGGCGAUCUCGAGUCCGGAAGAGGUGAGUGGAACUCCGAGUGUAGAGGUGAAAUUCGUAGAUAUUCGCAAGAACACCAGUGGCGAAGGCGGCUCACUGGCCCGAUACUGACGCUGAGGCACGAAAGCGUGGGGAGCAAACAGG
rnacentral:rRNA from 1 species